AGAUGGAAAAAGAAAGUUUUAGUAAAGUUUAGAGAAAAAAGGAAAGAAAGGUUUUUGGAUGUGAUUGAGUAAGAAGAGAGGCUGGUAAAGGAAGGUUAUUCAAGCAUAGAAAGAUAGAACUUAAAGAAAAAUGGAAAUAUUUGUUUUUAAAGGGUUAGUUUAAGAAAAGAGUCAAAUAAUAUUGAAAACUAGGUUUAAAAGGGGAAAGGCAAAACCUGAUUGGUAAGCACAUAGUAAAAAAGUGAAUAUAAAUGCAUUUAAACUAUUGAAUACCAGUGUAGGGUAAGAGAAAAGCUUUUAAUAUUAUUAAAUAAUAUUAAAAACAAUAAAAAUAGGUUUGAAGUGGGAAUUUACUAAAGCAAAACCUGUUUAGUAAGCACAUGGCCAAAAACUAUAAAGGGGUACUAAGAAAAAAGCAUUUAAAAUGAUUAAAAACUAGGUUUAAAAAGAGAAUUUACAAAGGCAGAGCCUGUUUGGUAAGCACAGGGUAAAAAAGUGAAUAAAAAAGCAUUGAAACUAUUCAAUACCAGUGUAGGUUAAGCAAAAAGAGAGCGGUUAAAAGAAAGAACAGGACAAGAAAAAAGUGCAAAGAGCAAAGAUAGAGAGCACAUGGUGGAAUCAGAAUGAGAGAGAGAGAGAGAGAAGCAGGCAGAGUCUGUUUAGUAAGCACAGGGUAAAAAAGGUAAUAGAAAAGCAUUCAGAAUCAGGGUAGGUUACAAGAAUGAACAAGAAAAGAAAAGGGAAAAGAGAGCCCCUUUGCAAAGGGCAAAGAUAGACAGCACAUGGUUGAGUCAGAGAGAAAGAGAGAGAAAAUGAGAGAGAGAGAGAGAGAAUUCUCACCGUUUACGUCUUUCUGUAGAAUGAGGCAACUUUUCUGAUUCAGAUCCUCUCAGACUUGUUAUCACCGCCUUUGGAUCAGCCGAAUCAGAGGUGGUUAUACAUCAGCGUCAUAGAAUUCAUUUUCCUGAACCAAUCCUAGAGUUCCAAGAUUUUAAACAAGAGCCAACUCCCUCCUUUCCCCCCUCCCCUCCCUUUUAACUGUUUUAUUCUUAUCUAAAGAAACAGACCCCCCAGCAUUUUCCCGCCAUGUAGCCCUUUUACAGAGGGGUUUUUAUAAAAUAAAAACAAUGUGAAGCUGCAGCAAAGCUCCUGUUAGCAAAGCAGCCUCUGUGAGUCAGUGGAUCACAGAGAAGGAGUUUGCUUCUUUACCUGCUUUUUAACAAACACAGGCUAAAGUUACAUUAAGUUUUGCAAAGGGAUAAUGACUUAAAAAGACAAACCUAAGACACAUCCCUUUUAUAUUUGUGUUGUAAUAAAAAAGAGCAGGCAGAAGCACCCCAGGUUUUUAGUAACAGACAGUUUAUAAACCGCUUAUUUUGUAAACCACUGAAUUAGAGAGAAGAAUAUUGCUUCUUCCCUCACUUUUUAACAAAGAGAAGUGAAGUCUUGUAAAGGUAUAAACACUUGAAAAGACAUGCCUAAAUGAAGACACAUUUUUUAUUUAACCCCCUUGGCAUAAGUGUUUCAAUGAAGAAGAGCAGGCAGAGGGAUUUUUAUAAAAGUUAAAACCAUAAGCUUUUAGUAACCAACAAUUUUUAAAAGUUUUUCGCUAGGUUUUAAACUAAUGGGUUAUUUUUUUAGUAAAAACAAUGUGAAGGUGCAGCAAAGCGCCUGUUAGCAAAGCAGCCUCUGUGAGUCAGUGGAUCAUAGAUAAGAAGGCUGCUUCUUUCCCAAACUUUUUAACAAACACAAGUUAAAAUUACAUUAAGUUUUGCAAAGGGAUAAUGACUCGAAAAGACAAACCUAAGACACAACCCUUUUGUAUGUGUUGUAAUAAAAAAUUAUGCAGAAGCACCCUAGGUUUAAAACCCCAGGUUUUUAGUAACAGAGGGUUUAUAGUCCCCUUAUUUUGUAAACCAGUGGAUUAGAGAGAAGAAGAAGAUUGCUUCUUUCCCCACUUUUUAACAAAGAGAGGUGAAAGGCUUUUAAGGGAAUAAACA